AUUGAACGCUGGCGGCAUGCCUUACACAUGCAAGUCGAACGGCAGCACGGGUGCUUGCACCUGGUGGCGAGUGGCGGACGGGUGAGUAAUACAUCGGAACAUGUCCUGUCGUGGGGGAUAGCCCGGCGAAAGCCGGAUUAAUACAGCAUCCGAUCUACGGAUGAAAGCGGGGGACCUUCGGGCCUCGCGCUUUGGGGUUGGCCGGUGGCGGUUUCGGUCGUUGGGGGGGUAAAGGCCUACCAAGGCGACGAACAGUAUCUGGUCUGAGAGGACGACCAGCCACACUGGGACUGAGACACGGCCCAGACUCCUACGGGAGGCAGCAGUGGGGAAUUUUGGAGAAUGGGCGAAAGCCUGAUCCAGCAAUGCCGCGUGUGGGAAGAAGGCCUUCGGGUUGUAAAGCACUUUUGUCCGGAAAGAAAUCCUUGGCCCUAAUACGGUCGGGGGAUGACGGUACCGGAAGAAUAAGCACCGGCUAACUACGUG
rnacentral:rRNA from 1 species